GAGUUUGAUUCUGGCUCAGGAUGAACGCUGGCGGCGUGCCUAAUACAUGCAAGUUGAACGGACUUGGAGGGUGCUUGCACCUAACAAGUUAGUAGCGAACGGGUGAGUAAUACAUAAGCAACCUACCUAUUAGACUGGGAUAACUAUGGGAAACGAUAGCUAAUACCGGAUAGGUAACUUGAAGGCAUCUUUAAGUUAUUAAAGGUUAGAGACACUAAUAGAUGGGCUUAUGGCGUAUUAGUUAGUUGGUGAGGUAACGGCUCACCAAGACGAUGAUACGUAGCCGGCCUGAGAGGGUGAACGGCCACAUUGGGACUGAGACACGGCCCAGACUCCUACGGGAGGCAGCAGUAGGGAAUUUUCGGCAAUGGGCGCAAGCCUGACCGAGCAACGCCGCGUGAGUGAAGAAGGCCUUCGGGUUGUAAAGCUCUGUUAUAAAUUAAGAAUGGCUAUAAGGGACUUAUAGAGAUG
rnacentral:rRNA from 1 species